GGUUAAGUGACUAAGCGUACACGGUGGAUGCCUAGGCAGUCAGAGGCGAUGAAGGGCGUGCUAAUCUGCGAAAAGCGUCGGUAAGGUGAUAUGAACCGUUACAACCGGCGAUACCCGAAUGGGGAAACCCAGUGUGUUUCGACACACUAUCAUGUCAUGAAUACAUAGUGGCAUGAGGCGAACCGGGGGAACUGAAACAUCUAAGUACCCCGAGGAAAAGAAAUCAACCGAGAUUCCCCCAGUAGCGGCGAGCGAACGGGGAGGAGCCCAGAACCUGAAUCGGCUUGUGUGUUAGUGGAAGCGUCUGGAAAGUCGCGCAGUAAAGGGUGAUAGCCCCGUACACUAAAAUGCACAGGUCGUGAGUUCGAUGAGUAGGGCGGGACACGUGACAUCCUGUCUGAAUAUGGGGGGACCAUCCUCCAAGGCUAAAUACUCCUGACUGACCGAUAGUGAACCAGUACCGUGAGGGAAAGGCGAAAAGAACCCCGGCGAGGGGAGUGAAAUAGAACCUGAAACCGUGUACGUACAAGCAGUGGGAGCACCUUCGUGGUGUGACUGCGUACCUUUUGUAUAAUGGGUCAGCGACUUAUAUUUUGUAGCAAGGUUAACCGUAUAGGGGAGCCGUAGGGAAACCGAGUCUUAACUGGGCGA
rnacentral:rRNA from 1 species